UACAGGGGGUGCAAACGUUUGCUCGGAAUUAUUGGGCGUAAAGCGCGCGUAGGCGGCCACUUAAGUCGGAUGUGAAAGCCCCUGGCUCAACUGGGGAAGUGCACCCGAAACUGAAUGGCUUGAAUGCAAAAGAGGGUCGCGGAAUUCCCGGUGUAGAGGUGAAAUUCGUAGAUAUCGGGAGGAACACCGGUGGCGAAGGCGGCGACCUGGGUUGACAUUGACGCUGAGGCGCGAAAGCGUGGGGAGCAAACAGG
rnacentral:rRNA from 1 species